AGAGAGAACAGAAUAAUGCUAUGAGCCCUCAAGACUCACUCUGUGACAUCCAUCCUCUAGCUCAGCUCUACCUCCUAAAGAUUCCAUAACCUGUGAAACAGCAGCACUGGAGACCAGUGUUCAGUGUGUGCGCGUGAGGGGGCAUGGCUCAUUCAAACCAUCACACCCCUAGAUACCAGCAUGUAUGAUGAGCAAGCUUCCAUCCUCUCAUCCUUACAGAGAUGAGAUAUGUCCUCAAUAUGUCUUGGAAAAAUUAUAGGGACUUUGUAAUCCUCUGUAUAUUAACCAGCCAGAAAGUCCCUAUGGGAAGGGAGAAAGAAAGAAAGAAGGGGGAUUCAGUAAGAAUUAUGUGUGUUGUGUACAUCUUGCUGGCCUCCUUGCAGUCAGAAUACAGCUUAUCACCAGGUCCCUGAGUUGAAGCCACAAUGCAAGUCUUCUGCCCAGGCCAAUGUUUCAUGAUGAACUGUGUAGAAGUAGAGAGCCAGCAUCUCAGGAUCCAGUCUGCACCUCACAGUGCAGAUAAAGAAGAACCCCAGUGACUCAUGAGAUUCAACCUGGAGCAUAGGCAAUCAAAGCAAGAAUGGAUUUGGAUGAUGGCUAUAAAGUGGACAUAAGAAUCUCUGGAGUUAGAAUGAUCACAUGCAUGGCCACCAGGGGAGCCUUCAAGAACAUAGCUGGACAGCAUGCAUCUUUGUUGGAGACAGCAAGAGAGAACUGCCUUAUGAAGACAAGGAUUUAAUUGUUAGAACAAUGCCAAAGACAUGAUGUGCCACAUAAUAUGAAGACCAGACCAGUUUCUUCUAUUUCUGUAUACUUGCUCUCUUUGAUGGUAAAGAUAUACUCAGACUUGACUUUUAAGACUUACUAGUCUUGAAGAAAAAGUAAAGAUGGAUCAAUAACUCAUAAGCAGUGACCAACUGGCAAAACCUCAAAACUACAGCAGUGACCUUAGCAUCACACACUCAGGUAUCUCUCCUUUCCUUCUGUGUAGCAGUAGGUGUGGGCAUCAGCCACACAGCAAUGAACACAAUGGAGGAGGGAGAUGGAAGAUUCUACAACUUCCAGAAAAGCAAAAUGUAUCCAAAUCCCAUGUGCUUAUUGUAAAUCUGCCUUAGGGAUCAGUGGUACAUGAAGCUGGAGAAAAGCAAGGGCAAGAAAUAUACUACAGCAACAGAGAAGCAGCAACUGAAUAUAGUAGUAAUAUUCUACUAUUGCUGACUUCAGUGGCAACAUGAGCACUUUCCAUUUCUGAAAUGCCAAAUAAGAUAAAAAGAGGCCUCACUGAAGAACAAACAUGGCCUACUGUCUCCAAACUGGGACUCAGAGGCUAACUCGCAGUGGUGGGGGCCUGGUUGUUCAAUUAAAUGCUUAGUUCUCAGUUCUCAUGUUUCAUUGACCUAGCAGCAGCAUUUGAAGCUGCAGGUAAUGUCUUUGUCUGGACCCUGAUCUUCUAGAACAUCUCUCUCUCUCUUUUCCUUUAUCCUCCUGUUAAUCUCUCUUCGAUGGCAGGACCAAAAUUGUGGGUGACCUCCCCGAAGUGCACAUCGCAGGAUGAUUAAGCUUGCCAUUCAUCUGAACCAUGUUUAAGGUGUCUUGCUCUUAUGAAUAUAAAAUAAAUCCAGUCCUGAUAUGGUGGCUUUAAUGUAAAACAUCCCUCAGGCUCAGGCAUUGAACACUUGGUUCGAAGGUGGUAGUGCUGUUCAGUGGGGGUGGGGGGAGGAGGGCUUAAGACGUUGGAGGAAAUCACCAGUGAGGGCAGGCUUUGGGAUUCUAUAGUCAGAUGCUAUUUCCAGUUUACUCUGCUUCAUGCUUUAGUUUGCAGAUGUGAGCUCUCAGCUUCCUGCUCCUGCAGCCACACCUGCCAGACUCUGUACCACCAUUCCACAACUGUGAACUCUAACCCUCUGAAACUGUAAGCUCAAGCAAACCAUCCCUUCUCUAAGUGGCUUUGGUCAUGGUGUCGCAUUGCAGCAACAGAAAGUAAAUAAUACACCAGGAACGAGGCAACGGUGUCUGUGGCAAAAUUUAGAUCAUUGUAUUAACACCCAGAUCAGAGCUGCAUGGCAAGAACCAUUUUCUCCUUCCUGAGAUAAUACCACUAAAGCACUGGGCAUCCCACUGGACUCCAUCGUGCAGCCAAGCACAAACUCAAAGCCUGCGUGUGUAGCCCUUCCUGUGAGGACCAUCUACGAGUAGCCUGGCACAGUUUCCUCAGAGACUCAGCUCAGGGUUUCUUUUAUUUUGUUUGUUUGGUUUUUUUGGGGGGGUGGUGGGAUUUUUCCCCCGCCUUUGUCAUCACUGAGGUGUUCACACUUGGAGCUGAAUUUCUGAAUUAAAUUGGAUAGUGUCCUUCUACAGGAAGCAGGGAAAGAU
rnacentral:lncRNA from 1 species